rnacentral:rRNA from 1 species
UACGGAGGGUGCAAGCGUUAUCCGGAUUUACUGGGUUUAAAGGGUGCGCAGGCGGAUAUGUAAGUCAGUGGUGAAAUCUUCCCGCUUAACGGGAAAACUGCCGUUGAUACUAUAUAUCUUGAAUGCCGUGGAGGUAAGCGGAAUAUGUCAGUGUAGCGGUGAAAUGCUUAGGAGAAUGACAUAGAACACCGAUUGACGAAGGCAGCUUACUACUACGGCGAUUGACGCUCAUGCACGAAAGCGUGGGAUCAAACAGGAUAGAUACCCGGAGUAACUCAUGACCAAGUACCUACUGUCACCGUAA